AGCAUUCCACUUGUUACUGAAAAAGUGCAAUUUCGAACCAUCUCGAUUACUUACUUGUUGUUCUUGUUUCUCUUACUGAAUGGCAGUUGCGCAAUCCUAAAGAUUUGAGCUUUGUUGGCUACACGUACAGAAACUUCGAGGCUGUAAAAAAACGGAACAAUAAAAAGAGCUCGUCGCCCGAGCGGCUGUCAACUGAUUCUACACGGAGUGACUCGGUAGUCGAUUAUGCAACAGCAACGCUCACUACCGAUGAAGAGGAAGUCCUUCAACGAACAGGAUCAGCAGAUACACUCGCUCAUUAAACAUCCG